rnacentral:lncRNA from 1 species
CUUACAAAUGUAGUGAAUGUGACAAAUGCUUCACCCGCAAAAGCAGUCUUAAUGUUCACCAGAGAAUUCAUACAGGAGAGAAACCUUACAAAUGUUGUGAAUGUGAGAAAUGCUUUUCACACAAAGGUGAUUUUAGAAAACAUCAGAGAAUUCAUAUAGGGAAAAAACCUAACUAAUGCUAAUGUAACAUAUGCUUUACCCAAGAAUUUGGUCUUAUUCAUCAAAGAAUUCAUACAAGAGAGAAGCCUUUCAAGUGAAUGUAACAAUGCUUUAACCCACAAAAGCAGUCUUAGAAUUCAUCAGAGAAUCCAUGUAAGAGAAAAAUCUUCAAAAUAUAGUCAGUGUGACAAAUUAUUUGGCUAGAAACAAUCUUAGCACUCAUCAGAGGAUCCACUUAGUAGAGAAACUUCACAAAUAAAUUUAAUAAGAAAAAUUCAUUCCCAAGGAGGAUCAUCUUGGCAUUCAUCAGAGACUACAUAUAGGAGAGAGACCUUACAAAUGUAGUAAUGUGCAAAUCUUUUACUGUUGGUUCAACACUUAGAAUAUAUCAAAGAAUGCAUAUGGGAGAAAAACCUUAUUAAUGUAAUGUAUGAGAAAAGGUCUUUACCCAAAUCUUAGAUCUGACAAUAUACCUAGACAUUUAUCAUUAGAAAAACAAUGUGCACUGGAUAAAAAUGUAUAAUGUGCUUUAUGCAAACAGUAUUGUUUGCAACACUUCAGACUUCACACUAGAGAAUUAAAUAAAUGAGGAGGUCAUGAAAACGUUUAAAUAUUUCUGAAAUCUUAGAAACUACCCAGGGUUUAUGGUGAGAAAUUGAAAAUGUGACAAUGAAAGAAAUUUUCAUUAAAAUUUUUAUUUGCUCACUUUCAAAUUAUGUCAUAAUAAAAACACAAUGAAGAAGCACAAAGAGUAUGGAAUUGUGUAAAGGUUCUUGGAGACUAAAAUGAUCUAUUUCAAAGAGAAGCUACAAAACACAUACCUCAAAGUACCUAAGAAAACUGACAAAUUCAGUAUACUUAAUUCCAAUAAAGAUACUCAGACAAAUUAUACUUCUUAAAAGAGGAUUUGAGAAAGUGAGGCACUAAGGUAGGAUGCUCUUUAUCCUAUAUAGAUAUGUGGUUUGCUCACAAUGUCCAAUAUUCACAAUCUGUAUUAUAUAGUAGUUUUAAGUUUCAGGAUAGCAAUUGUCUUUGAGUCCCUUUGACUUUCAUUUACCAACUCCUUCCCCUUAGUCCUAUAUGUAACUAAAGCUAAUUGCUUCAA